AGUCAAGUAGCUCAGUUGGUUAGAGCACUGUCCCCAGAAAGAAGUGGCAGGGACCUGGGUUCAAUUCCCAGCUUGGUCA
rnacentral:tRNA from 1 species